rnacentral:hammerhead_ribozyme from 1 species
UGAUGAGUCCCAAACAGGACGAAACAGCUGUC